AUUUCCAAUGAGUCGUAAGAUAUAGACCUAAUAAUUGUGAAAACAACAAUUGAAAAAUUGUUGCAUCUAGAAUCUGCUAGAAUCGUUUGAAUAACCGAACUAAUUGGUGAUAGUUGAUUGAAAAACGAGGUAUACGAAUGUUGUGGUUGAAUUAUUCAAAAAACUAUUAGAAAAUUGCAAAAAUUACUUAAAAGCAAUCAAAUUGUUCUCCAGUUGAUGACUAUCACUUGAAUGCCUUUUCUAGCAAACACUAAUAGACAAUAUGCUAUAGAGUAGAUGUGAAACACAGGUGCUAUCAAAUUAAGAUAUAUCUGUAUUACGAAAGGAACGUAAAAUGCAGCCUGAUAUAAAAAAAUCAUUUUUGCAAAGGAUGAACAUUACCUACGUGGUCAUAGUACCAUUAAUUAUAGGCCUUCACGUAGGUUGGUUUACUUUGCAGCAGCGUUAUGUUCCAGUACUUGACAGACAUGACCAUCCACUAGUCAGAUUAUAUAAGAGAUUUACCUCAUAAUAAUGUUAUGUAUGUAAGUCUUAAAUUGUUAUUGUUAAUAACAUUUAUAUUUAUCUUAUAAAAUUAUACUCUAAUUAUAGUAAAACAAAUCUGUUUUAUAUUUGUAUCUUUUA
rnacentral:lncRNA from 13 species